UCUAAAAAAAAUAAAAAAAAAUACUCAUAAUAUACCUUAUCAUGAGUUGGAUCCCACGAAGCCCUUCUUUUAAAACUUUGCUUUUUAAUUGAAUAUUCUCUUCACAUUUAAGAAAUAUUUGUGCAUAUAAGUUCUUCCAUGCUAUUUUAAAUUACUCGUAGCGUAAGCCAACAAAAUUGUUAUAUCGCAUAAAAGUCGCUAAGAUAUUGGGAAAAUUAAAUAUGGGAAGUUUUGAGAAGCAAGUGAAGGAGAGAACACAAGAAUUGAAGAUCAUUUUGAUGAAGGGAGUAAAGAUUGUGGGAGAUUCUUGCAAGAAGGGUUGGUACAAGAUGAAGAACAUGAAGAAUUGAAAUAUUUUUUUUUAUGUUUUUUUAAUUUGAGAGGUUUUGAUUUUAUUUUUAUGUCACUAGGUAUAUAUUUUGGUUUAAUAAUUGCAAGCUUUGUUCUUGAAAACAUAGAAAUCUAAAGAGUCCUUUGAUAUUAUUUUUUUCUAGUGUUUAAUUCUAUGCAACAAAUUUGGUUUUGAGCUC